ACCAGGAAAUUACAGCUUAAAUAUAAAAUAUUUUGGUAUUGCUGAUAAAGUCUUUAGAAUUUUCGAUGUGAAAGAAGGAUCUACUUGGGUAGGUAAUCUGCGUAUCCAGAUAAUAAGCGACCGACGAUUGUUUCCAUGUUGGCAUCAACAGGAUUUAUUGUUACAAACAACCUUUAAUAUUUCGAUAAAAUGUAAUCAAUGUGCGGCUUUGUCAUAUAUGCCAUUGAAAAAGACGAUUAUUGAAAGAUAUAAGCAGAAUAUAUUAUGUGAACACAUCGUUUUCACACCUGUAAUGUUGACUUAUCACCCAACAAUAAUUGUGUCUAAUUAUCUAUUAUAUAAUUAUAUCGAAAAUCAAAUCAGUAAUAUGUGGUGCAGAAAUAAUACUGUAAUCGACAUGAUAUUUGCAAAUAAUGUAGUUGAAACAAUCACGUUGUUUUUUAUAAAUGAAUGGAAACAUUUGGACCAUAUUUCGAUGGUAAAUCAUGUUUUAAUUCCGAAUUUUCAUGACAACGACACUAUAAUUCUCGGACCAGUUCUUUAUAGAGAAACAGAUAUCAUCUACAAUGAAGCUUUAUAUCCUGUUGCUUAUAAAAUUAAAGUAACUCAAUUAAUAGGACGUAAGGUGACACAGCAAUGGUUAUUAACAUGAUGAACAAUCCAUCAGUAUCAGAUUUUUGGUUUAAAGAAGGUCUUACUACAUUGCUUGCAACAUAUGCUGUCAAUAAGACUUUUCCAGAUUAUCGAAUAAUAAAUUUAUUUGUUGUUCAAAAUCAACAUUACUCUUUUAAUUUGGAUGGUGAUUACCAUAUGCGGCCUUCUACUUCACAAGUUAACAGUUUAUUGGAAAUUCCCAAUUCUAUCAGAGCACCCUUUAUAUUGCGCAUGUUGCAACACGCCCUCACCGAAGAAACAUUUCAGAAAAGCAUUCGCUCAUAUAUAAAUAGCACUACUCCAAAUUUUUGGAAUAAAAUUGUUGCUGCUGCAGAAAAACCAGAUUAUGCUGUAAAAAUAACGAAUAAUUGGCAUAUAGAAACGUAUUGUCCUAUCAUAAAAUAACACAAAAUUAUAGGAAAGCAAAUGUAUCGAUUCAAAAUAUCAACAAAUUAAAAAUUAACUGUCUUCCUGUAACUUUUACUACGCAAGCGUCUCUCAAUUUUAACAAUUUUACUCAUCAUAUGGUAUGCGCGACAGAAGAUUUGAAAUUAUCAUUUAAUGAGGAUGGUUGGAUGAUAUUCAAUAUGCAACAAAUUGGAUAUUAUCGCGUUAACUAUGAUGAAGAGAAUUGGCAAAGAAUUACAAAUUAUCUACACUCCCAUAAUUACAAGAAAAUUCAUGUUCUUAAUCGUGCCCAAAUUAUCGAUGAUGCAUUUAAUUUAAUGAUAGCAGGCCAUCUUCGUUCCUAUAUAUUCUGGAACAUCACAUCGUAUUUGUAUCAAGAAGAAGAUUAUAUAGCAUGGUAUCCUUUCUUUAAAGCUCUGGAAUAUAUAUGUAGUGCUUUUCCAGUGUUGAAAGAAAAAACUGAAUAUUUUACGGUAAAUAUUAAUAAAGAGUGGCAAAAUGACCUGCUUUUUCGCCCGUUUUAUAGAGUCGAAUUUUGAGACCUCAAAUUUCAAACUUUUUUAUGUUAUACGGUUCCGGAGAUACGGGGGUGAAAGUGAUGAUUUCUAGUCAAAGAUGACAAACUAUCACAUUCGCUUCUUCAUAUCUCCGGAACCGUAUCUAUAUAUGCUUGAAAUAUUACUAGAAUUAACGUUUCAUCUAAUAGUAUUAUUUAUGAUGAAAAAAAGUUUGAAAUUUAAGGUCUCAAAAAUGAGCGACAUUUGUCAUCACUCUUUCAAUGAAAAUAUUAUAUUUUAAAUAUUUGCUUAUACACUUAUUGAUCAAAAAUAAUUUAAAAACUUAGAAAAAUAUAUCCAGCAACGAUAACAUUUUACAUACGAUUAAGUCGCAAACUAAUGUGCAAACAAAUUCAGUUUGAAUAAUCACUCACCCAAAGAACUGUCCAAAAAGUCUAUGAUUUUUACUACUACCAAUAUUAUUGGUAUAUAACAUUGUAUUUGGAUAUAUGUAUAGCAAGAUACUUAAAAUCUUUGUCAAUGAAUGCAAUUAUCGGCUUCAUAUAAAUAUAACAU